CAAGUACUCCCUCCGUUCGGAAUUACUUGUCACAAAAAUGAAUGUAUCUACAACUAAAAUACAUUUAGAUAUAUUCAUUUCUUGGACGAGUAAUUCCGAACGGGGGGAGUAUUUG
rnacentral:pre_miRNA from 1 species